rnacentral:rRNA from 1 species
AGUGAACGCUGGCGGUAGGCCUAACACAUGCAAGUCGAACGGCAGCACAGGAGAGCUUGCUCUCUGGGUGGCGAGUGGCGGACGGGUGAGGAAUACAUCGGAAUCUACUCUGUCGUGGGGGAUAACGUAGGGAAACUUACGCUAAUACCGCAUACGACCUACGGGUGAAAGCAGGGGAUCUUCGGACCUUGCGCGAUUGAAUGAGCCGAUGUCGGAUUAGCUAGUUGGCGGGGUAAAGGCCCACCAAGGCGACGAUCCGUAGCUGGUCUGGGAGGAUGAUCAGCCACACUGGAACGGAGAUACGGUCCAGACUCAUCCGGGAGGCAGAAGUGGGGAAUAUUGGACAAUGGGCGCAAGCCUGAUCCAGCCAUACCGCGUGGGUGAAGAAGGCCUUCGGGUUGUAAAGCCCUUUUGUUGGGAAAGAAAUCCAGCCGGCUAAUACCCGGUUGGGAUGACGGUACCCAAAGAAUAAGCACCGGCUAACUUCGUGCCAGCCGCCGCGGUAACAC